UGGAGUUUCCAUGCUAACUGUGGAGCCUGUGAACGUCCAAAUAUGGUCAUAUGUGAUGACCAUGAAAAGAUGAAUAAGUAUAUUUACAGCAGUUAUUGACGUGGAUUUUCAGGAUUAAAGGAUCAGCAGGUAUGAAACAGAUUAGAUCAGUAGAGGGUUCUGGUCGACAGUGGAUGUUUGGGUUUUUAUGG